GUCCAUUAGAUUUUUUUUAGUGGUGAAUACAUUUUAGAAUUGGGGUUCAAUUUAAAAAAUUAUUUUACUUUAUUUUUAUUAUUUUUUCUACUGUUCUUUGCUUUUCCGUCAACUUUCCGGCGACCAGUCACCACCCAACCCCACUGGUCAACCCUCUUCUCUUUUUCUCUGUUUUCGAUUGGCUCCAAGCCAAAGCAAUAGCACCAUCAGACUCCACAUUCCGACCGGCAGCAAAAUCCGGCCAAACUACCCUCAUUUUCCCCUUUUUCUCCGACCAACAAACCCAAAAAAGAACUCCCAUCCCCUGUAUCUUGUCUUCUCCAGGCGAGAAACAACCCAAAGACCCCACCAUUUCCGACCACCGGACCUCCAUCACAAACCACCAGAUCUUUUUCACUGCCACCUCCUCCCAAACCCCAUAGCCUCCCCUUCCUCCGUUCACUUUUCCCGACCACGACUACCAAUAACCAACAAUAAAUGACCACCAAAAGAGACCCCAAACCCACCAGUUAGCCGACCACUUCCCUCAACCUACGACUCGGCCUACCGGAGCUAAACAAACCAAACCCCCUCGCCCUUUUCCCUUUUUAUUUUUGUUUAUUUUGCAGGUGUUAAAUCUCCAUUUUCCUAGCGAGAUCAGUGAACCAGCGAGCUCCGAUUUCAAUUGAAUUCCACCAUCUCUGCAGACAGUUGAAAACAACAACCAAUUUGUUUCUCUUUUGAGUCUUGGUGACAUUUGCUUGAUUUCAUUCUUUAUCGGUUUGUGUUUGCUCAUUAAUUGUUGUUUGGCUUUCAUUUUUGGUUAACUUUUUGUGAUUACAAUAGUUGUAUUAUUAUCUUUGUUUAUUCUCUCAUAGUUGACUUUAUUGAUUUUUUUUGUUGAUUUAAUUUUUAGCUUUUAAUUAUUAUUAUAAUUAUUUUUUUGCUUUAUUCGUGUAAGCUUUAACAUAUUGUUGUUUAUGAUUUAUUUUAUUCACAUUGUUUGAUUGACUAAAAUUUCUUGUUUAUUAUUGCCAUGUUGAAUUAUAUUUAUAAUUUAGUUGCUUUCUUUUUGUAAGUAUUUAUAUUCUAUAAUAAAUGUUUUGUUUGGUGCUAUACCUCAUGUUAUCUUUUAUCAUUUUUCUUUACCCUAUUUCCAGUGGUCUGUUGGUUUGAUAGCGCUAAGCUACUGUUAGUAAUGUUUGCUAGCUUUCAUUAUUAUUGUUAUUAAUUUUAAUCAUAUUUUAGUUGUUCUUUAUUUACUAUUCAAACUUGAUGUGUUGUUAGAAUAAUUUAGUUAUGGUUGGUAUUAUUUUUUGUUAUUUUAUAUAGUUAUGUUUUUGAGAUUGUGGCAUAUUAUUCUACCUUAUCUAAUAUAGUUUUAUGUAAUUUGGUGUUUUUAAGAAAAUUAAUAUUAAUUGGCCAAUGAGAUAACUCCCCGUCGGUUUGGGAGUCCUCCCCAAUAUUAAAGAUGGAAAUUUUUUAGUUUUAGUUCAUAUAACUUGUUUGUUAAGAUUGUUAAAAUGGCUGAUGAAGAAAUUACCGUUGAUUUAGAAGGCCUCCCAUGUUAAUAAGACGGGUUUUUAUUUUUAAGUUAGUAUUUCAUAUAUUCAAUUUAUUUAUAUUUAUUUAUUACUAACACUUUUACUAAGUGUGUUUACAGACAACUAAGACUUACUUCCUUGAAGCUAUUCGAAAGGAGUUUGAAUUAUAUUUUCAAUUCAUUAUUAUUUUGUAUAUAUCGAUGUUAGGCAAAGCUUAGGGAGAUAUUAUUGUUUUUAUUUUAUUAUUUAUAUUGCAUGUUUAUUAUAUUUGUACAAUAUUUUAUUUUCCUCCUCAAUUUGAAAAAAUGAAUAAAGUCGGGAACGACAUUUGUGGAUUUCGAAGGGUGCCUAAUCCCUUCCCU